rnacentral:lncRNA from 1 species
CAUAGCGAUUUCAGGAAGUAGAGGACUGUCCUGUUGAGGUGUGAGAAAUAUCAAAAUGUCUGGAUUUCCAGAGGAUUUCAAAACACAGCUGAAGUUUCAACUGAUGGGGUUGUCAUGUCUUUGAACAUUGAAAAGCGAUGAUAUUCCAUAGAUUUACCCCUUUACUUCAGAGGGAGCUAUCCGAUCAGCCAAGAUCAGUGCAGCAAAAAAAGAUGUCAAGCUGAGACUAAUCCUGCUGCUGAUGACUAGGACCUUGACACCAGCUUUAGUAGUGCAGAGCAUGUAGACCCAUUAGAUGAAAGCCUGGAAUAAGCUCAAGCUCAACAUCUGACAAUGAAACAAGCCAGGACAGCCAAAAGGAGACUGCAGUACAAAAAAAUCUUCUGCAAGAGGUCGAAGCAGUGGGUGGAGAAGAAAGUGUAAGAGACUUGUCCACUUGGCUGUGGAGCGAAGAAAGGACCAGACGGUUGUCUACAAGGAGCCAGAGUCCCAGCCCCCCAAACCUAACAUACCUACCAACAUUGCCACAGCAUCAAAGCUAGCUAAACCAGCUGCCAUUACCCAACACCAGAAGAACAUUCAACCAACACAACAUCCAUAUUCAGUUAGACUGAUGUUGUUGUAUAAAAUAGAAUGCCUAGUAUGCUCACAACUGCAUUGUGGAAUAGAUAUUGCAAGCUGUAGUACAUAUGUUAUUUUAUAUCAUCAUUUUUACAAGUGUACUGACAAGUGACUAAAUGAUUCCAACUGCAUCAGAAACCAAUAAAGUGUUGACUUCAAUUUCUUGACCAUUUCAUUGUGUAACGCCCUGGCCAUAGAGAG